CUAAAAUCUCCAGGGACGGACAGUUUCACCAUGCAUUUUUACCAGCGAAACUGGGAUGUUCUGAAGGAAGAGGUGGUUGGGGCUGUUAAGCAAUUCUUUGCGGAUGGUGUCAUGCCGAGUGAGUUGAAUACUACUAUUAUUGUUCUCAUUCCCAAGACUAACCAAGCGGUGGAGUUAAAAGAUUUCCAGGCAAUCUCUUUAUGCAAUGUUAUUUACAAAGUGGUGACGAAGCGCAUUGUGAACCGCUUCAGACCAUUCCUGGAUGAUCUUAUUGGCAUUGAACAUAGCGCUUUCAUCCUAGGAAGG
rnacentral:rRNA from 1 species